ensembl:lncRNA
UUCAAGUACUUGCUGCCAAGCCUGGGGACCUACUAAGUUCAAGUACUUGCUGCUAAGUCUGGGGACCUACCAAGUUCAAGUACUUUCUGCUAAGUCUGGGGACCUACUAAGUUCAAGUACUUGCUGCCAAUCCCGGGGACCUAAUAAGUUCAAUCCCAAGACCCACAGAAUGAGAGGAGAGAACAGAUUACUAUAAAUUGCCCUCUGACCUCCACACACAUUAGUUAAUUAAUUUAAAAACAUGCAAUAGAAGAAAGCACUUCUUCAUCGUGGUGCUCUGCCCAAGACAGCCACGACCGGGAACCAGCCCAUUCUUCACCCACCCUUUGCAAUCCAGAGAUAUCAUGGCAGAACGCAGACUAGCAAUGGCUACCUUACACAAGGUCAACUAACUUGGCUCUUUUUUAUGCCCAAGUCCCUUCAUUGCAGAAGUGGAAAGAACUGGAUCUUUGUGAUUGCGUGGGGGGAAGAGUAAGGGAGGGAGGCUUCAGAAGCGCUUAACCCAGUGUUGGGAUCAACUUAAGCAGCCAAGGUGUGGCUGAUUAAAGGACACCCCCGCCCCCAUUUCCUUAGGCAGCAGGGUAGAAGUAGCCUUACAAAAUGUACAGGUGACCCCUUCACGAACACCUUUGGGAGAAAAAAAAAGACCCAAAACCCAACAUGGUCAGCCAUGCUUAAAUUGGAAAAGUCCCCAUUCCCAAGACAAAGGAGACAGCAGCAAGGAAAAAGGAAACACACCUAUAAGGAAGCCUGGCUGUGUCAUCGGUUAUUCCGUGACUACACCUGAGUGUCCCAAACGCUUUGCAAACUGCUCCAGGCCUCCAUCACCCUUACCCUCUAGAGCUGGUCUGGCGGGUCUGCUCCAUUGAACAGUAGCGCCAUGUCUCCCGCACUGCAAGGUGGAAACUGCACAGACAUCUGUGAUCCUUCCCUGGACCUUAGCUGCAAGUGAAGCCAGCACUGUGCCUACAGUCAGCGCUACACAGACUCUGGGAUUGAUGGAGGAUGGCCCAGCCCAUGGUGGGUGGUGCCAUUGCUAGACUGGUGGCCCUGCAUCCUAUAAAGAAGCAAGCCCAGGCUUCCUCAGCUUUUGUGCAGGCUAUAUGCUACCAGGAUGGGACAACUCCAUGUAGUCAUGCACAUGAUCUCUGGAGCCAAGGAAAUACCAAGAUAAUGUGACUUUGAUGGUACCUCACAAAGCCUCCAUCUCCUGGAAGGAAUGCAGGACCCUUUCUCCUGGUGCCUUCUGCAUCCAGGGGACUCCUCUGCAGGCUCUCCUCACACUUAUUUCUUCUUUGUUCUGGCCCUGAGCAUGUAUUUUCUCAACAUCACCCAGUGGCUCCAUUGAUUCC